GACGAACGCUGGCGGCGUGCUUAACACAUGCAAGUCGAACGGAAAGGCCCUGCUUUUGUGGGGUGCUCGAGUGGCGAACGGGUGAGUAACACGUGAGUAACCUGCCCUUGACUUUGGGAUAACUUCAUGAAACUGGGGCUAAUACCGGAUAGGAGCUCCUGCUGCAUGGUGGGGGUUGGAAAGUUUCGGCGGUUGGGGAUGGACUCGCGGCUUAUCAGCUUGUUGGUGGGGUAGUGGCUUACCAAGGCUUUGACGGGUAGCCGGCCUGAGAGGGUGACCGGCCACAUUGGGACUGAGAUACGGCCCAGACUCCUACGGGAGGCAGCAGUGGGGAAUAUUGCACAAUGGGCGGAAGCCUGAUGUAGCAACGCCGCGUGCGGGAUGACGGCCUUCGGGUUGUAAACCGAUUUCGCCUGUGACGAAGCGUGAGUGACGGUAAUGGGUAAAGAAGCACCGGCUAACUACGUG
rnacentral:rRNA from 1 species